CAGACCACCGCCUGGCAUGCAGGACUCUCACCACGCAGAGGGGCUCAGAAACAAAACAAACCCCCCCGCGCUCCUCCUUCAGGACGGACGGGGCGGCGCGCUGUUCGUGCAACGCGCCAACACUUGAGCCGCAGAAUCCAGAAAUACACAACGGGAUGUUGUUGUUUUUCCGUCUUGCUGUUGUUGAUGACUGCUGGGCUGCCAUGUGCAGUGUGUUAUUUAACCAUCACGGUGACGUGCGCCUCCACACUUCGCCUCCGUGCGUGUACGCGCGUGUUUCUGUGUGUCUGAGACUCCGGACUACGUAACUCCGGUUGGUUCUGUAGUUCAUCUACAGUUAUUCUGAAGGAUCCAGAGGUGCUCACACCAGGAAAAACAUGUAUCUGCAUAGAACAAAGCACAAAAAAAGAAAAGAAAAAAGAAGUUGCAAUGCCAUAACGGUGGAUGGGGGGCAAAGUGACCAUCCAGAAGUCGCUGCUAGUGGAGACGAACAGCUCCGCUGUGUGUUUUUCCUGGUUUAUAAAACAUCCACUACACGUGUACUCUGCUAAAUAUAGUAUCUGUUGUAACUCUUCGGUCAAUUAUUAAAGAAGAUGGUAUAAGUUG